AUUGAACGCUGGCGGCAGGCUUAACACAUGCAAGUCGAACGAGCGGCGGACGGGUGAGUAAUGUCUGGGACACUUCCUGAUGGAGGGGGAUAACUACUGGAAACUGUAGCUAAUACCGCAUACCAUCGGAUGUGCCCAGAUGGGAUUAGCUAGUAGGGGGGGUAAAGGCUCACCUAGGCGACGAUCCCUAGCUGGUAUGAGAGGAUGACCAGCAAAACUGGAACUGAGAAACGGUCCAGAGGCCUACGGGAGGCAGCAGUGGGGAAUAUUGAACAAUGGGCGAAAGCCUGAUGCAGCAAUGCCGCGUGUAGGAAGAAGGCCUUCGGGUUGUAAAGUACUUUCAGCGGGGAGGCGUUACCCGCAGAAGAAGCACCGGCUAACUCCGUGCCAGCAGCCGCGGUAAUAC
rnacentral:rRNA from 1 species